rnacentral:lncRNA from 1 species
UUCCUGCCGGUGGUUAUCUCUAUGAUGCCCUAACCACAGUCUUGCAAGGCAGGACCAUAUCCCCAUCUGAUGAGGCCACCGUCCACACCAACCUUGAGUCACCUUGUCUGCAAUGGUGGUGACAGUUUCUGAGACCUUUUUCUAUAGCUAUAUCCAUUUCUUGAGAUUUUGAAGUGUUUUUAUAAACCCCAUUCUCUGGGAAUAUUUUUAAUUUUUCUGUGCAGCUGGGAGGAUUCUUAGAGAAGAAAAGUGCUGAUUUAAGAGAAACUGCAUUAUUUGUGAAAUACAAAAUUCAUCUUGUGGGUGUAAGAGAUGCCUUCGUGGACGGAUGAAGCUCCUGGUACUAAGUAGCAGGAGUGCAGUGAAGCUGCUGUGUUCUCCAGCUCGUAGUUAAGGGCCAGUCAGGAUCAGACAUCUUGCCCUGAUGGAAAAGAAGAUGAACAGAUACCUCCUGACCUGGAUAGCAAUUAAUUCUGGGGACCUAGAUCCCCAAGGACUUUAGGAUGAGGCAGCAGUUUGGAUUUAGGAUCAACAUGGUAUUUAAAAUAUAAAAGCAUUGUAGUGUUGGGGAAGCAUCAUUUAAAAGAACUUGUGGGGUCCCUGUCAGGCCCCUCUUGAGACAGGCCAGCCCCACAGAAGAGAAGGCCUAGGGCUGGCUCCCUAGGGUUGUGAGAAACUCCAGAACAGUGUUGACUUCUUUCUUCCCCUAGGGUCACACCAGCAUGUAGCAUGAUGCCUUGCACACAGUAGGUGCUCAGUAAACACUUUUGGACCACUGAAUGCAAUGACCAAUGGAUAAAAACAUUGUUCUUCCCUUGACCAGAUAAGACCCGCUUCCCUGGGCGUCCACAGGCCGCUGGUGAUGCACACUCUUCUCUGUGUGGCCUCUGCCUGCCGGGGGAAGCCUUGUGACCAGUUUCUCCCCGCUGAGUCAAGGGAGAAUGAGGGGGAGCAUGAACAUUUGCUUGUUUCCCUUAUGGCUUCUGAAUCUUUAUUUUAUUUUUUUUAAUGAAAAUGUCUACUUGAAUUUAGGUAAGGAAGACCUUGCUCUUAGUUUUUGAAUUUUGAACUAGAAAAAAAAAAAAGGUCUUUCAAUGAACACUAGCAGAACAGUCUAAGCAAUCAUGAUAAAGACCUAAUUCCUGCCUCUUUCUCCUGCUCUGAUGGAGCUGAUGACAGCACAAAUGGGAGAGGGAGAAUGUAGCAAGGACACUGAAGGACAGAGAGUUGUCCAAGCCACCAGGAAGGUGAAAGUGGGAAUUCAUUUUCUGUGCCAUUGGGUGGUUCCUUAGGAAAAAACGUAGACAAAGAAAAAUAUUGUAUUAUUUGUGGAAAUCAAGUUCGUAUUGCAGGUGUAAGAAAUGUCUUUGUGGGUUGACAGCAUUUAUUGAACAUGAGCCUUUAUUUUUGGAGCUCCUCCAACGUACCAUGCACUGUCACCUUAACAGUUCCUCACAGUGACCCCAUAGAGUCAAGAGUCAACUGCAUUUUUGCAGAAGCGAGGCUCAGAGAGGUUGAGGGUUGUCCUAGGUAUCCAGGUAGCGAGCAACAGAGCAAGAAUUUGAACUCGGGUUGUAACUCUUCAUUGUAUGUGUCAACUUGACUGUGCAAAGUGAUGCCCAGAUAGCUGGUAAAGCACUCUUUCUGGGUGUGUCUGUAAGAGUGUUUCUGGAAGAGAUUAGCAUUUGCAUGGGUAGACUGAGUAAAGAAGACCUGUUCUCACCAAGUAAGUGGGCAUCAUCCAAUCCACUGAGAGCCCAGAUUGAACAAAAACACAGAGGAAAGUCGAAUUCUCUCUCCUUUCUCUGACUGGGACAUCCAUCUCCUUCUGCCCUUGUACAUUAGAGAGCUUAGUUCUGGGUUGUUUGAACCCAGUAACUUAUAGCAGCUGUCCCCCAACCCUAUCUCAAUUGUCAGGCCUUUAGACUUGGACAAAAUUACACCACUAACAUUCCUGGUUCUCCAGCUUGCAGAAAACAGGUCAUGGGGCUUCUCAGACUCUAUAGUCUCAAGAGCCAAUUCCCAUAAUAAAUCUCCUCAUGUAUAUCCCAACGGUUCUCUUUCUCUGGAGAGCCCUGCCUUAUGCCCAGGUUGAACAACCGUUCCUGGGUUCUUUUUCCACCUUGCCAUAUGGCUUCUCAGAACAAGACAAGGCCUCCACUAUGGUUUGAGUCAGAAGACUCAUGAAGGUUGUAUGAAAGAGUUAGCGGUAUUUAUGAAGAAUGGCUAGGGAAAUGCUUUUGUCCCUUUGUGAAGAAGUGGGCACCAUGGAGUGGGGAUGGAUUGGAGGGCCCUCUAGGAGAAUGAGGCCACAUGAACACAGCUGAAGAUCAUGAAGCAUUUUAGGUAAUUGCUAAUAAUAAUAAGUAGAAUUAUUAAUAUUCAUGCUGGCUGCCAUUUCUGAGAGUAAAUUGUGUCUCAGGAACUUCACAUGCAUCAUCUUCCAUUCUCACAACUGUCCUAAGAAAUAGAUUUGAUUCCUAAUGUGCAGAUGAGUGGUUGAGACUCAGUGAGACAACACACCUUCUCCAGGAUCCCACGGUAAAUACGUGGUAGAGCUCAGAUGCUAUCACAAAGCCCAGUAAGGCAGGAAAGCAGGAGGCAUAAAAGGGAGGACAUCUGGGGCUCAAUAGAAGUGGGGAACCCCAAGAGGGCCCAUCAACCCCUCCCAGCAGCAGGAAAGAUGGUUUUCAGAACCCAAGUCCAUUCAUUCUCUUUCCUGUGCUCCUUCCCACGGCUUUCAGCUCAAAGACACAAUUGGCUCUUUAAGACCAAGAGGGAGCAAUACUCUCAUUAAAAACACUCACUUUUCCUCUAGCUCAUGGCCCUCCACAUGACUUCUCUAGCUCAUGGCCCUCCAGACAGAACAAAGGGGUCCCAAAAUGCCUAGCGUGGAAUCACAGAAUGGCCCAGGCUUGAACCAUCUCUAUUCCCAGAGAUAGUCACAGAGAUGCACGCUAUGGGACAGUCUUGGCAGGGUCUUUGAGGAGGAAGUGGAUUCAGCAGGAUGAUGGGGCUGGCAUCGUGGAUGCCAGCAACGUGGAUGCCUGUUGGUGGUGUGCUGAUGCUACACACAUGCAUUCACACAUAUAUGCAGACACAUGUACACACACAUGCACACACACACUAAAAACACCCACAGACAUGCAUGCUUUUACAUUUAUUUAUGAUAGGUGUGCCCCAGAGAGGAGUAUCUUUUACCAGUUGCUCUGGUUGUUUCUGAAUUCUGGAAGAGUCUGGACAGAGAAAUUCCCAGCAUAUCCUGCAUCUCAUUCUUGGUGUGAAGCAGGAACACGCACUCAUUCCUAUUUGGCUAUAGUCUUCACAGCUUUCUACUGUUUCUUUUAAAAGAAGGAAACUAAAAUAAUAUAAUUCAAUGUUGUCCAGUCAGCUUUGAUUACUGUCGGUCCCUGUGUGUGAAGUGCUGUGCUGGCUUGAACGGGACAUGCAAAAAUCAAGAAGGCAAGGUCCAGUCCUUAAAGCCCUAGAGCAAGGGUUGACAAACCACAGUACUUGGGCUAAACCCAGCCCACCACCUGUUUUUGCAAAUAAAGUUUUAUUGGAACACAGCCAUCCUCAUUCAUUUACAUGUAUGUGGUUACUUUUGUGCUCUAAUGGCAGAGUUGAGUGGUUGCUACAGAGACUGUAUGGCCCACAAAGCCUAAAAUAUUUACGAUCCAAUUCUUUAAAGAAAAAAUUUAUAUACCUUAGCCCUAGAGAACUGUAUUGGAGAGAAUACAUGCACCCCAAAAGACAAAGAGCUUGACCAGGCAGCCGUGCUAGGUGCCCUGUGAGCUUUGUGGACAGUAAGUGGCUUCAGAGUGCCGAGGAAGGGUAUGUGUGGGCUGAGAUAAUCAGGGAAGGCUGGUUGGUGGAGGCAGGCUCUGGGUUUUUUAGUGAACAGGAGUGUAGGAUGGAGUAGUGGUGGGAUGAACACGAGGUCGUUCCAGGUGUGGGCAUUGGGGUGAGUUCAAGUGCAGAGGUGAGCACAGAGCAUGGCGGGGGUGAACAUUUGUGGUUUGGAGCUAAUCAGCAUCCACUCAGCCAUGGCUAGUCAUGGCUAGCCCCGAUUUCCUUUGAAAGUCGUCACAAUUUGCUUCUAAUGAGGGUGAACUCCUCCCUGCUUCUGGGAGCAUGCAACUCAGGCCUGGCCAAUCAGAGCCUCAGGUCCCCCUCUGAUGAUAGUGAUUGGCUCAGGGAUGAGCACGUGAACCAGCUCUGGCUGCAGAGCCAAAGAGCCCCAGUCCUAGACUUGUUUUGGUCGUUGAGGAAGCCGAUUGUCCCCUCUCCAAUCUUCUGGUUGUGAACAAAAGAUGGUGUCACUGAGGCAGCCACCUUCCCAGUUCUGGCCCCACAGGUUGAGCCCUGAAUCCAGCGGGGCCUACCCCUUCCCCUCCCCCUAGACUUUCCCAUUAUAUGAACAUAUUUUCGUUUUUGCUUAUGGCCAUUUGGGUUGAGCUAUUUAAUAUUUGUUGCUUGCAAACAGAAGAGCUAAACAGAUCCAGCAUAUCUGGGGAUGCUCUUUUUGUUUUGUUUUGUUUUUGUUUUUGUUUUGAGACGAGUCUCCUCACUCUGUCGCCCAGGCUGGGGUGCAGUGGCGCGAUCUCAGCUCACGGCAACCUCCACCUCCCGGGUUCACGCCAUGCUCCUGCCUCAGCCUCCCAAGUAGGUGGGACCACAGGCACCCACCACCACGCACGGCUAAUUUUUUUGUUUUUUUAGUAGAGACGGGGUUUCACCGUGUUAGCCAGGAUGGUCUGGGAUUACAGGCGUGAGCCACCGCGCCCAGCUGGGAUGCUCGUUUUUUCUGUAGGCUGAGAGUAGCCAGCUCAGACCAACGCUCUGACAAGAGAGCCUGAAGUACUGGGAAGACAGAUUUUCCCUUCCUGGGGGCGAUUUUGGUGAAGCCCCUAAUUUGGGUGAAGUUUUGAGAUCCGUCUGAGAUUGGGCGAAUGGCCUCCCUGGGAAAACAAGAAACAGACACAGGCGGCUGUGGGUGGACAGGCCCCAAGUUAGUUUCGGUUGGAACCUGCUGGAGGGAGCAUAGCACAGCAGUUAAGAGCCUGGGCUGCCAUGUUUGAUGCCUGGGUCCAAACUGGCUUCUCAGGCUUUGCCUCUUGUUCGUUAAGCCAUGCCAGGCUCCCUGCCAAUCUGCUGACAGUGGAGAAGGCAGUCUCACAUAGACUUGGGCUGCUCUGGUCCCUAAAGAGUUACACCUUGCAUUGUUUUAAUAAAUUAAUAAACUGGCCUUCUGCUUCUUGCUUCACUCCUGUGGGCUAGGUUAGUGGACAUCUACUGAGAACUGGAAAAUUCAGUUUCUAUGAAUGCAAGGUUGAAAGUUGACUCUGGAUUGUGAUACAUAGACCAGGAGGCCUCUGGGAGACAGGAUCUCAGGCGUGGUAGCUCCCUGUUGCUGCCCCUGUGCCAGCAUGCUUAGAUUCUUGUCCAACAUUUAUUGAUCAUCUACUGUGGCAUUUUACAUGCUUGGCUUCUUUUAAUUGUCCUGCCCUCACCGUUGAGGAGUUUCCAGUUGGGAGACCUGCCCCAGGGGCCUAGAUGAGGAUGCUGGAGUGGAGGAGUAGAAGGAGGAGGGGCAGCUGCCUGUAAUCCUCAGAACAGCUCUCCUCUGUAGCACACUCUCUGAGCCUCAUUUUGAAGUGACUAAUCUUCUACUUUUAAGAUCAAUAGCUCUGAAACGUGUUCAAAGGGAAGUGGAAGGGUGAAAUAUAGCAGCAGCCUUCAAGCUGGAUUUCUGAUUCUGUUGGCCAAACCAAGCCCUGAGGCUGUGGCUCAUAAAUUGUUCUGUGUCUCCCAUGCCAGCUACCUGCACAAGAAAGACAGUGAUGGCGGGUGGGACAGCAGGGCUGGUAAUGGGCUUUGAUUGGCAAUGGUGUCAGGGAUGUCUGCCCCAUGUCACUGAGGAUGUUGAUACCUGAUGGAUAAGAAUCAGGCUGCCUGCCCCAGACAGGCCCACAUGGGGACAGCAGGGUCUUAGUGGGGCUCCUCAGAAGCCAGCAGUCUGAGAUACUGAGACAUUGUAAGCCAUUCUCAAAAUUUCCACACUGAGGACUUCUCUUACUCAUUGUUUUCUUCUUCCCUGGAUUCCUGAUUUGAAAAUUUGGUUGCCAAACUCUGUAUAUAAAGUGAUGUAAUAGCUAAGUAACUAUAUCCAUCAGAAUUCCUUCCAGAUAGAGCCCAUAUUCCUAGUUGCUAGAAUAUACAAAGAAUGCUCAAAGCUCAACAGUAAAAAACCAAUCUACUUAGAAAAUGAGGAAAAAAUGUGAACAGACAUUUCACCAAAGAGGAUAUAGAGAUGGUAAAUAACCAUAUGAAAACAUGUCCAACCUCAUUAGCCAUUAAAUGAGUGCAAAUUAAAAUCACGAGAUACCCCUAUACACCUAUCAGAAUGGCUAGAAUACAAAAUAAUGAAGACACCAAAUGCUGGCAAGAAUGUGGAAAAACUAGAUCUCUCCCACGUUGCUGGUGGGAGUAUAAAAUGGUACAGCCACUUUGGAAAACAGCUUGGCAGUUUCUUGUAAAAGUAAACAUGCAACUACCAUAAACCCAGAAAUAAAAACUGAUGUUCACACAAAACCUGUACCCAAAUGUUCCUAGCAACUGUAUUCAAAAUCGAGACUGGAAGCCAUUCAAAUUUCCUUGCACAGGUGAAUGGUUAAACUGUUGUAUGUGCAUACCAUGGAAUACUAUUCAUUGAUAAUGAGGAGUGAACUCUUAACAGAUACAACAAUUUGGAUGAAUUUCCAGAUAAUUAUGCUGAGUGGAUAAUGUCAAUUCGAAAAUGUUAUAUACUGUAUGAUUGCAUUUUGAUGGCAAUCUUGAAAGAACAGAAGUAUAGAAAUGGUGACUAGAUUAGUACUUGCCAGGCGAGUGGGGAGGAGGUGGCUCUGGCAAUAGAAGGGUGGCUUGAGGGGUCCCUUUGAUGGAACUGUUUUGUAUCUUGAUUGUGGUGGUGAUUACAUGAAUCUGUGCAUGUGAUAUAUUGCAUAUAACUAAAUGUGCACGUACACACGCACACACACAAAUAAGUGCAUGUAAAGGGAAAUCUGAUACAGUGGAUCAUAUCUAAUAAGAUGGGUCAUAUCUGAAUACAGUGGAUUAUCAACCAGGGCUUUCUUGGUUAUGAUGAAACCAAGGAGAACCAUAGGAGAAAAGUGAAUGAAGAAUAUAUGGAAUCUCUC